UACGGGGGGGGCAAGCGUUGUUCGGAAAUUACUGGGCGUAAAGGCUCGUAGGCGGCCAACUAAGUCGGACGUGAAAUCCCCCGGCUCAACCUGGGAACUGCGUCCGAUACUGGAAUGGCUUGAAUCCGGGAGAGGAUGGCAGAAUUCCAGGUGUAGCGGUGAAAUGCGCAGAUAUACAGGAGGAACACCGGUGGCGAAGGCGGGUCUCUGGGCC
rnacentral:rRNA from 1 species